rnacentral:ncRNA from 1 species
GAUUGCACAAUUUUUUAACGACCUCUCUGCAAUCGCGGCUG